rnacentral:lncRNA from 1 species
AUCCUUAUUGCCAGCAUCACUACCCUAGUACUUUGGGGACUUUGUUAAAUAAAGCAAGAGUUACUUGGACACAAGCACUGCAAUAUCGUGACAGUCAAUCUGAUAACUGAAAGGGCUACUAAGUAACCACCGUGUGGGUAGCAUAUACCAUGUGGAUGCACUGGACAAAGGGAUGAUUCACAGUCCAUGCAAGAUGGAGCACGAUUUCACCAUGCUAUUCAGACACAUGUGACUGGAAACUUAUGAACUGUUUAUUUUUGAAAAUCUUCAUUCAUCAUUUCAGAACGUAGUUGACCUUGGGUAACCAAAACCUUGGAAAUCAGAACUGCAGGUGAAGGAGGACUACUGUAUAUUAACAGUAUUUAAAUUCCUCAGUUUGCCCCUGAGAUAUACACCAGGAAAGAGAUUGUGGACUGUGCUCCAAAAAGGAUUCCUAGGUCUUCCACUGCCUCUGCUCUGUUCAUAUGCUUGGAGAAGGAGUUGCUAAACGCCUUUAUGGAGUUUAUUGUGGCAAAAGAAAGCCACAAGUAUUUUGAGACUCACAGUCCUGCGUGUUGCUAGAGGUGGAAACUUGGCCUCACCUUUGCUUCUGAUAUUCCUGAAUCUGGGGAACAGUAACUCCAUGAACGCCAAGUUACACAGACAGAAAGACUCUGGCCUGGAGUAAAAUCUUCCCAGACCUGGGAUUCAAAUUCAGGAAGGCAGUGGGCACAGAGGCUGGAGAAGACACACCUGCCCGGAAAGACGGCCCUACUCACCUCCAACAACUGGUGUCACAGCCUCGUGAGCACCUUAAGUGACAUCUCGAGUGCAGAUUUCCACAAGAGCAUGCUCUGGGUGCCCUGUACCUGUGCCAUCUGCGUCAUCUACGCGAAGCUCACCACAGGGUACGCAGAGGCACCAGAAAAGCUCUGGGUUUUUAGGGAGGCGGAUGCACCCACCAUGCACCUUGAGAUUCAGCUCUAAGUUCUCUAGGGUUAUUGUCUUCAGGCACACAGAAGUUGGCGCAGUCUUACUGUAAGUAAUAGCCCCUGACGGGUGAGCCGCUCAUCCUGCAAAGGAUCGAAGGAAGGGUCCACAAAGCGGUAGAGGCAUCCCGUGAGAAUCCAGGCUGCAGGAAUGCAGGAGGCGGGGUCUGCAGCCAGCAGGAGGCCAGCUGAGAGGGUCUGCAAACAAGACCCUGGCUGGGGGAGCAGGAGCUGGUUGCAGAUAGAGCUUCCUGCAGCCAGGCUGCAGGCCGUCCCUGGCUCCACACUAAAGCAAGGGCAACACCGCGGCCAGCCAGCUCUGCACAUCUGGGUUCCAUGAAGAAAAUUAGGCACACACCCUGCAUGAGGCCCACAGCCAACCCAGUCACCCCCAUCCCAUCUCCACCGCCUGGAUCUCCCAGUCUCAGCCCCGGGGCGGCCACUCUGCCAGGGAGCUCUGAAAUGGCAGGUGCGUGCUGAUGACAAAGAGUCGGGCAGCACCCUCGGUGCCC